rnacentral:rRNA from 1 species
UUCGAAACUGGCAGGCUUGAGUCUUGUAGAGGGGGGUAGAAUUCCAGGUGUAGCGGUGAAAUGCGUAGAGAUCUGGAGGAAUACCGGUGGCGAAGGCGGCCCCCUGGACAAAGACUGACGCUCAGGUGCGAAAGCGUGGGGAGCAAACAGGAUUAGAUACCCUGGUAGUCCACGCCGUAAACGAUGUCUACUUGGAGGUUGUGCCCUUGAGGCGUGGCUUCCGGAGCUAACGCGUUAAGUAGACCGCCUGGGGAGUACGGCCGCAAGGUUAAAACUCAAAUGAAUUGACGGGGGCCCGCACAAGCGGUGGAGCAUGUGGUUUAAUUCGAUGCAACGCGAAGAACCUUACCUGGUCUUGACAUCCACGGAAGUUUUCAGAGAUGAGAAUGUGCCUUCGGGAAC